UACAGAGGGUGCAAGCGUUAAUCGGAAUGACUGGGCGUAAAGGGCGCGUAGGCGGAUGACACAGUCAGAUGUGAAAUUCCCGGGCUUAACCUGGGGGCUGCAUUUGAUACGUGUUGUCUAGAGUGAGGAAGAGGGUUGUGGAAUUCCCAGUGUAGAGGUGAAAUUCGUAGAUAUUGGGAAGAACACCGGUGGCGAAGGCGGCAACCUGGUCCUUGACUGACGCUGAGGCGCGAAAGCGUGGGGAGCAAACAGG
rnacentral:rRNA from 1 species